rnacentral:rRNA from 1 species
AUUGAACGCUGGCGGCAGGCCUAACACAUGCAAGUCGAGCGGAGCGGCGGACGGGUGAGUAAUGCAUAGGAAUCUGCCUGGUAGUGGGGGAUAACGACCGGAAACGGGCGCUAAUACCGCAUACUAUCGGAGAAGCCUAGGUCGGAUUAGCUAGUUGGUGGGGUAAAGGCCUACCAAGGCGACGAUCCGUAACUGGUCUGAGAGGAUGAGCAGGCACACUGGAACUGAGACACGGUCCAUACUCCUACGGGAGGCAGCAGUGGGGAAUAUUGGACAAUGGGGGAAAGCCUGAUCCAGCCAUGCCGCGUGUUUGAUGAAGGUCUUCGGAUUGUAAAGCACCUUAAGUUGGGAGGCGUUACCAACAGAAUAAGCACCGGCUAACUUCGUGCCAGCAGCCGCGGUAAUUC